UCUCCGUUGGUGAACCAGCGGAGGGAUCAUUAGAGAGUUGCAAAGCUCCCAAACCACUGUGAACCUUACCCCGUACGCCCUCUGUUGCCUCGGCGGACCGUACCGGCCUUCACAGGCCGGAGGCGGCCGCCGCGGCGGCGAGGGCCCCAUAACUCUGCUCUCCAUGCCCUCUGAGUACAGCUUCUUUAAUGAAUCAAAACUUUCAACAACGGAUCUCUUGGUUCUGGCAUCGAUGAAGAACGCAGC
rnacentral:misc_RNA from 1 species